rnacentral:rRNA from 1 species
UAGGGAAUCUUCGGCAAUGGACGAAAGUCUGACCGAGCAACGCCGCGUGAGUGAAGAAGGUUUUCGGAUCGUAAAACUCUGUUGUUAGAGAAGAACAAGGACGUUAGUAACUGAACGUCCCCUGACGGUAUCUAACCAGAAAGCCACGGCUAACUACGUGCCAGCAGCCGCGGUAAUACGUAGGUGGCAAGCGUUGUCCGGAUUUAUUGGGCGUAAAGCGAGCGCAGGCGGUUUCUUAAGUCUGAUGUGAAAGCCCCCGGCUGAACCGGGGAGGGUCAUUGGAAACUGGGAGACUUGAGUGCAGAAGAGGAGAGUGGAAUUCCAUGUGUAGCGGUGAAAUGCGUAGAUAUAUGGAGGAACACCAGUGGCGAAGGCGGCUCUCUGGUCUGUAACUGACGCUGAGGCUCGAAAGCGUGGGGAGCAAACAGG